UGCCCAGCAACUCCUAUCCCUACCUCCUCGCGGUACUGGCCGGGGUACGAGUAACCUUAGGGAAGAUCGGGUAACCAACCCCCGGUGGGAACUCUGGUCGUAUGCUGACAGGGAAGG
rfam:Aedes aegypti strain Liverpool supercont1.34 genomic scaffold, whole genome shotgun sequence.